rfam:Danio rerio chromosome 4, GRCz11 reference primary assembly.
GGCUCGUUGGUCUAGGGGUAUGAUUCUCGCUUCGGGUGUGAGAGAUCCUGGGUUCAAAUCCCGGACGAGCCC